UCUCAUUAUUCUGACAGUGAUCCUGGCGGCUGUCUUGUUUGGUAGAAUGACAAUAAAAGAUUGGGACAAAAAGAGAACACCAUAGACAAAACUCAGAUGUCUGAGGAUGAACCAGUGACACCUGCCUUCACAGCAAGAGUAUGUAGAUUGUAGGAUAAUUCUCAAUAAAGCAUGCAUGUCUUUUUUUUUUCAUUACUUUUUUUUUUUUACUGUAAGGAAUGAAGCGUUUGCAUUUUUCUUCUUGUCUGAUGCACACAUGGAAGUUGUAACAUCUGAGUAAUGUUGAAAUGUAGGGUUCGUUGAUAGUGUUAAUUAUGGGGGGUGGAAACACUGUAGGCAGUCUGUCAGGGCUGAGUGAGAUGAUUUCUUAAUUGAAGGGAAGUACACAAUGCAGUUGGUUGAUGUCUGAUUUACUGAAGACUUUGUGGGUACACAUAUGUGUGGUUUCUGAAAUGGAUUAAACGAGAAAUAAACUUAAUGAUAUGAAUAUGCAAUGUUCCACAAUAAACAUUAAAACACUGAACAGCACACUAUAUAAAUAUAACAACACAAAACAAUGCUAUUUUACACUAUUUAACGGGCGUUUAUGCUCU